UGAAUCAAGCUUCAUGGCUCCGUUCAGAAGCAGGGGAUUUUUAUGAGGACACUACUCCCUGCCCCAGCUGAAGGCAAGCCCUAAAUGUGAACCUCCUGGAUUCGAUUUAAAGAUGGCAGAGCUUUGAUCAUCUUGAUGGCAGUGGGGGGAAGGCAUCACAGCUCCCUGAGGAUGCCGCGGAGCCAUCAGCUGUGGCCUUUCCCGGGAGGAGAGAGGUGAAGUGUGCCCAUGGAAACGUUCGAUGCUCUGAGAAGAAAAGGCCUCUUGUUACUCCCGGGAGGGUGUCAGCGGGGGCGCUGGCUGAACGCCGUGGUGGAAGGGGUGAUCUCCCAGCCGUCAGGAUAGAAUGCAUUCAGACCCUCAGCUCCCGGAGUGUGUUUUCCCCCCUCCUCUUUUCAAGCCUGUAUCAUCUCAGCAAGCGCCUCAAGUGAGCAGGAGACAGGACGGAGGCCAGCCACUGGGGAGGCAGGGCUGGAGGAGCAGGCAGCUCCUCUCACCCUCCCAAGGCCAUUCUCAUGCAACACACAACACACACACGCGCAAAGACCCGUGAGGACAGACUGACACGGCCUGGAGAGUGCGGCAAUCCAUUGCUGCAGAGUGGAGCAGGCGUUGCUCACUCUCAGUGCCCAGGAACCUCACUGCAACAGCAUUUGCUGGAGAAUUUGGAACAAGAAGACCUCAUUGGACUUUAUCCAAGGGGAUUUAGUCACCGAAGAUCUAACACUCCUCAUGAUAAGGCUGUGGCACAGUUCCAGAACCUGGCUCCAAGGGAGAAGUCAUACAAGAUACCAUGUGUGUGUGUUUUGAUGUCCUUUUGUGUUGUGUUUGUGGGAGGUAUAUAUGUGUCACGAGUUUGUUUGCAGAUGUGCCUGUAUAGCAUGUGUUUGUGGGGGAUGUGUGAAGACAGAGAUGCUCAGCUGCUUACCGUAGACACUCACUGUAUGUGUUGGAUUGAGACUGGGGCCUCCCCAUCACAGCCUCCAUCUGGGACAGAGGCUCAGAGAUGCUGCCUUCCAUUUUUCCCUCACCCCCUCCUCAGGAAGUGCCUCAGGCGUGUUUGUCUCUGUCAGGGCCAGUCCCCAUGCAGAUUAGCUAAAGCCAAAGGGUGACAUGGACUGCAGCUUUGUCCAGCCGAGGCUGCAGCUCUUCCUGGGAGCCUUUCCUUAAAUUCCAGAUUCCUU
rnacentral:lncRNA from 1 species